rnacentral:lncRNA from 1 species
AUGUUUGCAAGAGCUUCCAACCAAUAUACAAAGAGGAGCCUCUGACGAAGCUGGGAGCGUACGGUCCCGCCAACUGAAAGCCACGCCGGAACCUCGAUGUCAAAUCGAAUUUGGCUCAAACCCAAUUACAUGCUGCCUUGGGGAAAAAUUACGAUGGUUUUAAUGGUGCUUAUAGUUGUAUUUUCCAGCUGGGUUCGGCUGUGAAAUAUUUCUAUUUUGGAGCUAGUUUGGAGGUGAAUUUCAUGGCUGGUUUGGGGAGGAGAGUUGUUGCAUUUUCGCAGCAGCUUUUGAGAUGAAUAUUGGUGUUGAUGGAGGUGGAUUUUGAGGCAAAUUUUGGGGUGUUUUAGAUCUAGUUUAUAGCUAGUUUUUGGGGUAUUUCAGAGGUGUUUUAGGCUGAAAUUUUGGGGACGGUUUUCUGUGUAGAACAGAUGUGAGUUUAUGGUGUUGCAUUUUUUCUAAGAAAUAAGAAGAAGACC